rnacentral:rRNA from 1 species
UACGGAGGGGGCGAGCGUUAUUCGGAAUUAUUGGGCGUAAAGGGCGCGUAGGCGGCUGUACAAGUCAAAGGUGAAAUCCCUCGGCUCAACUGAGGAACUGCCUUUGAAACUGUACGGCUUGAGGCCGGGAGGGGGUAGCGGAAUUCCCAGUGUAGCGGUGAAAUGCGUAGAUACUGGGAGGAACACCAGUGGCGAAGGCGGCUACCUGGACCGGUUCUGACGCUGAGGCGCGAAAGCGUGGGUAGUAAACAGG